GCGGUGAUAGAGAGAGAGAGAGGCAGUGAUAGAGAGAGAGAGAGGGAGGCGGUGAUAGAGAGAGAGAUGGUGAUAGAGAGAGAGAGGCGGUGAUAGAGAGAGAGAGGGAGGCGGUGAUAGAGAGAGAUGGUGAUAGAGAGAGAGAGGCGGUGAUAGAGAGAGAGAGAGAGGCGGUGAUAGAGAGAGAGAGAGGCAGUGAUAGAGAGAGAGAGAGGGAGGCGGUGAUAGAGAGAGAGAGAGGCGGUGAUAGAGAGAGAGAGAGAGAGAGAGAGCGGUGAUAGAGAGAGAGACGGUGAUAGAGAGAGAGACGGUGAUAGAGA
ensembl:lncRNA